ensembl:lncRNA
GGGGGUGGGGGGUAUCCUCCAAGCAGGGCAGGGGUCAGCGUCUGCCCCUCCCCAGAAACUCUGGGGUCUGUCCUCAAACCUCCUUGGCUGCCAAAAUCUGCGCUGCGGACAUUCCCUGCCAAAAUGCAAGACCAGCUUCCUCCCGAAGGCUGAGCAGAAAGGGGAAAGGUCGAAUCUUAAAACUGGCGUCAGGCAGGACGGGGGGGAAACUCCGACCAGGGCCCGUCUAAGCCGAGGUCGGGCUGGACCCCUCGUGUGCCAGGUGGGAAAGAGCGCAGAGGCCAGGCCGGUACCCUCAGCGGCUUCGUCCGCAUGCGGCCAGGUCCCCCUUCCGCGCUAGCAGUCCCGGGGCGCGCUCCCCGGCCUCGGACCCCGGCGGCGAGCCGCGCGGACCCCUGCCUGCGACCCGAGGGAGGCCCGGACCCCUAGCCGGCAGGACUGCGCGCCGCCCCUCCCCGUUGGUCCAGGCGAGCGCCUCGCUUCCCCUCCCCCCUUCCCGCCUCCCCGGCCCGUGUCCCCGCCUUCCCCGCGGGCGACGGGCGGCGGCGGCGGCGGUGGCGGGAGGAGCGGGCCGAGCCGAGGCAGCCCCGACCUUGCGCGCUGCGAUGUAGCGAACCAGCGAGGACCGAAGCUGCGCGCACAGCCGGAGACACAGCUGGAACCGGGGCCCCAGCCGAAGUCGAAACCUCAGAGUCCGUGGCGAGCGAGCCCGGAGCCGACGAGCGGAGUACGCAGCGCAACCCGCGUGGGCUAUGCCGCAGAAAAGCAAAAGACAUCGGCCGGAGCCCCGGCUCUCUUCGCCGAGGACCCCGACGUCUCGCCGCCCGUGCUCGGAGGCGCCCCCAGCCCACGGCGGCCUGCCCUCGCCCGCACGGGUCGGGCUUUUCCUUACCCAGAGAGGAACCCCAAAUGCUCUUCGCAAAAUCCAAUAAAGACAUUCCCGCGGCUUCUCCGGGGUUUGAUUGUUGACGCAGGCUUCCCGGGCACACAGCCGCUUCUCUAGAACCGGGUCUCGGAAUUCUGAAAUUGACCAGCCUCCCAAAUCUGAGCCGUUUCGGCGGUAGUAAAGCGAUGGCCCCGAGGCCGGGAUCACAGAAAAGGGAACCCGAGGCUGGAAUCCUGGUUCCAAGGUUUCCCGAUUUAGGAAUUCCCUGAAUCUAAAAAUAUUUGAGCCCACUUUACUGAGAAACUAAGGCUUGGGUGUCCCGUUGGCACCCCAGGGGCCUCUGACAGCGAUCGGGGCUAGAGCAAGGCCAGGUUGCUGUCCACUUGGCCAAAGACACGGGUCUAGAGCAGCAGGGGCGACACGGGAGGGGGCUUGCUGGCUCCCUCCCCUUUCUUCAGCUCUGCUCGGAAAAGGAAAAGACGUGGACGGGGGCAUGGAGACCUGGCUGCCAGGACUCAAGAAGGUAGAGGCAGAAUUUGUUGCUCUUCCAGCCAGGCUCAGAGUGUGCUUUUCUCGGAAAAGCCGCUCCUGGGAAGCUAUGGUAACAGCAUAAGCUGACCCUAGGCUCCCCCAGUUGUGUGACCAGUCUCUGCCACUUGCCCAGCCUUCUCUUCUCCUCCGCUCAGCUAUUCUCAGGAAGCAGCGAACGACCAGUGAGCGGACUCGGACUCGGGUGAGCCAUGAGGCCAGCCCUGCCAGCUGCUGACAAAGUUCCGAGUUGCAUGCUCCCUGAGGCACCCCACUUGGCCGUCCUGCCUGAGUACAUCCCAGGUCUCCCACCAGGACAGGCUGGGGAACCCCAAAUAACAGGAAGGCUGAGGCUGGGGUCCUUGGAAGCCUAAAGAAUCCGGUGAGAUGGUUCCCAGCCCCUACCUGAGCACCCCUUUCCCCCCUCACCCAGUAAUUGCUUAUAUUCAAAGAAGCCAGAGCUUUUAUUGGAAGGGGGGGGGGGAUAAAACAGACAGAAGGAGGUAGGUGGUCCCAGAUGCACUUCCAAAACUGGGUUUUCUAGUUUGAACUUCUCCACGGCCUAAGAGGCUUAGGGUUGGAAUGUCCCAGAGAGUCAUGGAUGGCCUCGAGGGCAAGCCACGGCACAUUCCUUCCCUUUUCCUAAAAUCCCUUGAUUCUGGUGCAGAGAUUAGGGCAGCGUACCCCCAUAUAAGUGCGUGGAAGGAUGCCCUCCAUGAGGACCCUCUAACCACUCUUCCCAAAUAAAACUGCUAACCCGUUCUUGGGCA